rnacentral:rRNA from 1 species
CGUAGGCAGCAAGCGUUGUUCGGAAUUACUGGGCGUAAAAGAGUUCGUAGGCGGUGCGGUAAGUUUGGUGUGAAAUCUCCCGGCUCAACUGGGAGGGUGCGCUAGAUACUGCCGUGCUCGAGUAUAGGAGAGGUAAGCGGAAUUCCUGGUGUAGCGGUGAAAUGCGUAGAUAUCAGGAGGAACACCUGUGGUGUAGACGGCUUACUGGACUAUAACUGACGCUGAGGAACGAAAGCGUGGGUAGCAAACAGGAUU